rnacentral:rRNA from 1 species
AUUGAACGCUGGCGGCAGGCCUAACACAUGCAAGUCGAGCGGAUGAAGGGAGCUUGCUCCUGGAUUCAGCGGCGGACGGGUGAGUAAUGCCUAGGAAUCUGCCUGGCAGUGGGGGAUAACGUCCGGAAACGGGCGCUAAUACCGCAUACGUCCUGAGGGAGAAAGUGGGGGAUCUUCGGACCUCACGCUAUCAGAUGAGCCUAGGUCGGAUUAGCUAGUUGGUGGGGUAAAGGCCUACCAAGGCGACGAUCCGUAACUGGUCUGAGAGGAUGAUCAGUCACACUGGAACUGAGACACGGUCCAGACUCCUAAGGGAGGCAGCAGUGGGGAAUAUUGGACAAUGGGCGAAAGCCUGAUCCAGCCAUGCCGCGUGUGUGAAGAAGGUCUUCGGAUUGUAAAGCACUUUAAGUUGGGAGGAAGGGCAGUAAGUUAAUACCUUGCUGUUUUGACGUUACCAACAGAAUAAGCACCGGCUAACUUCGUG